UGGAUCACCUCCUAACAGGGAGACAACAAAAUGUUUAAUAUUAUUAUUUUGUCACCUUAGGUCGAUCGGUAUCUCACAUUUUUAAUUUAUUAAGAAUUUCAUUUCCUAAGUUUUUCUAGGUCACACCCAUUAUUUUUCCUGGGCCAUUAGCUCAGGUGGUUAGAGCGCACCCCUGAUAAGGGUGAGGUCCCUGGUUCAAGUCCAGGAUGGCCCAUAUCUCUAUGUUGGGGGUAUAGCUCAGUUGGUAGAGCGCCUGCUUUGCAAGCAGGAUGUCAGCGGUUCGAGUCCGCUUACCUCCACUGAUUACCACCUCUUCCAUAACUGGUAGAAAGGAAAUGUUUUGAGUUGUGAUCAAAUUCUGAAAGAAUCUAGCUUCCUAAUGAAAUCAUUAAGAUGCUGGACUCAUUGAAUUAAUUUCAUUGUUUUCAGAGAACCUUGACAACUGCAUAGAUUAUUUUUUAAAGACAAUAAGCAUCUUUUAUGAUGCAGAUUUAUUAUUUGUGCAAAUGCAUUAAUAACAAUUCUAUUAAGCUGAUGCUUCAAUUUUGAAGUUAUUGGUCAAGCUACAAAGGGCUCACGGAGGAUACCUAGGCACACAGAGGCGAUGA
rnacentral:tRNA from 1 species